rnacentral:misc_RNA from 1 species
GAUGAAGAACUCAGUGAAAUGCGAUAAGUAAUGUGAAUUGCAGAAUUCAGUGAAUCAUCGAAUCUUUGAACGCAUCUUGCGCUCCUUGGUAUUCUGAGGAGCAUGCCUGUUUGAGUGUCAUUAAAUUCUCAACUACACUGACUUUGAAUUGGUGUGGCUUGGAUUUGGGGGGAAAAUUGUUGUGGGCUUUUUGUAUAGUCUGCUCCCCUGAAAUUGAUUAGCGGUACCUUUGUGGAACUGUCUACAGGUGUGAUAAUUAUCUACAUCUUAGACAUCUGCUGGAAUGCUGCUUUCUAAACCUUACUUGUAUUGACAAUCUUGACCUCAAAUCAGGUAGGACUACCCGCUGAACUUAAGCAUAUCAAUAAGCGGAGGA